rnacentral:rRNA from 1 species
AGUGAACGCUGGCGGUAGGCCUAACACAUGCAAGUCGAACGGCAGCACAGUAAGAGCUUGCUCUUACGGGUGGCGAGUGGCGGACGGGUGAGGAAUACAUCGGAAUCUACUUUUUCGUGGGGGAUAACGUAGGGGAACUUACGCUAAUACCGCAUACGACCUACGGGUGAAAGCAGGGGAUCUUCGGACCUUGCGCGAAUGAAUGAGCCGAUGUCGGAUUAGCUGGUUGGCGGGGUAAAGGCCCACCAAGGCGACGAUCGGUAGCUAGUCUGAGAGGCGGUUGAGCGACACAGGAAGUGAGAGACGAUCUAGGCUCCGACGUGAGGCAGCAGUGGGGAAUAUUGGACAGAGGGGGGAAGCCUGAUCCAGCCAUAGCGCGUUGAUGAAGAAGGCCCGCGGGUUGGAAAGCCCUUUUGUUGGGAAAGAAAACCAGCAGGUUAAUACCCCGCUGUUCUGACGGUACCCGAAGAAUAAGCACCGGCUAAUAUCGU